UUUCCGGGUUUGAUCAAGGCAUCGCGUCCUUCCUCGGGGACGUCGACGCCGACGAGGAGGGGAGGAGCCUUAGGGCAGUUGGGGAGGACGACGUCAAGGCCAAGGUCAGGAACAAGAGGAGCAGGGAGAGGGGCGUCAAGAGGAGGGUCGAGCUCGAGAAGAGGGAAGCCGCCGGCGGGCAGGCCGCGAAGAAGGGC
rnacentral:snRNA from 1 species